AUUGAACGCUGGCGGCAGGCCUAACACAUGCAAGUCGAGCGGAUGAAGGGAGCUUGCUCCUGGAUUCAGCUGCGGACGGGUGAGUAAUGCCUAGGAAUCUGCCUGGUAUUGGGGGAUAACGUCCGGAAACGGGCGCUAAUACCGCAUACGUCCUGAGGGAGAAAGUGGUGGAUCUUCGGACCUCACGCUAUCAGAUGAGCCUAGUUCGGAUUAGCUAGUUGGUGGGGUAAAGGCCUACCAAGGCGACGAUCCGUAACUGGUCUGAGAGGAUGAUCAGUCACACUGGAACUGAGACACGGUCCAGACUCCUACGGGAGGCAGCAGUGGGGAAUAUUGGACAAUGGGCGAAAGCCUGAUCCAGCCAUGCCGCGUGCGUGAAGAAGGUCUUCGGAUUGUAAAGCACUUUAAGUUGGGAGGAAGGGCAGUAAGUUAAUCCCUUGCUGUUUUGACGUUACCAACAGAAUAAGCACCGGCUAACUUCGUG
rnacentral:rRNA from 1 species